rnacentral:tRNA from 1 species
ACCUGGUUGGCUCAGUUGGUGGAGCACACAACUCUUGAUCUUGAAGUUGUGAGUUUGAGCCCCACAUUGGGUG